rnacentral:tRNA from 1 species
CGGGGUGUAGCGCAGUUGGUAGCGCGCGGCGUUUGGGACGCUGAGGUCGGGGGUUCGAGUCCCUCCACCCCGA